rnacentral:rRNA from 1 species
AUGGGUCUCUCGACCGCUGUGGAUUGGUGGGAGGAGUGGCAGCUGCGAAUUCUCGUCAUCUGCAGCCAAUGUGUUCAAUGGCUCCUCUACUUCUCCGCCCGCCGGCGUAAGUCUGCCGUCUCUGCCUCCUUCCGACUUUUGAUAUGGUUAGCAUACAUAGGCAGCGACGCGGUGGCGAUAUAUGCUCUCGCCGCCCUGUUCAAUCGUCACAGGAAGCCGGAAAAUUCCAGCUUCACACAUGGCAAAAGCGUCCUAGAGGUGGUGUGGGCGCCGGUCCUUCUGAUGCACCUGGGCGGACAGGACGGCAUAACCGCCUACAACAUGGAAGACAACGAGCUAUGGAAGCGGCACGUCCUCACGGCCGUCUCUCAGAUCACAGUGUCAAUCUAUGUGUUCUGUAAAUCAUGGCAGGGCGGCGACAAGAAGUUGUUGCAGGCAGCUAUCAUGCUCUUCACCCUCGGGGGCAUCAGAUGCUUAGAGAAGCCAUAUGCUCUUAGGAGUGCUAGCAUUAAUAGCCUAGUCAGCGCUUCUGACACUACGACACAAAUGGACCAUGAGGAAUACAGCCGCGGUUAA